GACAGAGGGGGCAAGCGUUAUUCGGAAUCACUGGGCUUAAAGCGCGUGUAGGCGGCCCGGCACGUCCGUCGCUGAAAUCCCCCGGCUCAACCGGGGAAGUGGCGUGGAUACGACCGGGCUGGAGGGGGGUAGGGGGAGCCGGAACUUCCGGUGGAGCGGUGAAAUGCGUUGAGAUCGGAAGGAACGCCCGUGGCGAAAGCGGGCUCCUGGACCCCACCUGACGCUGAGACGCGAAGCCAGGGAGCGAACGGG
rnacentral:rRNA from 1 species